CCUACGGGAGGCAGCAGUGGGGAAUAUUGCGCAAUGGGCGAAAGCCUGACGCAGCGACGCCGCGUGAGGGAUGAAGGUCUUCGGAUCGUAAACCUCUGUCAGCAGGGAAGAACGGUCACUGUGCUAAUCAGCAGUGAAUUGACGGUACCUGCAAAGGAAGCACCGGCUAACUCCGUGUCAGCAGCCGCGGUAAUACGGAGGGUGCGAGCGUUAAUCGGAAUUACUGGGCGUAAAGCGCUCGUAGGCGGUAUGUCAAGUCAAGGGUGAAAGCCCCGCGCUCAACGGUGGAACUGCCUUUGAAACUGGCAAACUGGAGUGUGUGAGAGGAUAGUGGAAUUCCAGGUGUAGGAGUGAAAUCCGUAGAUAUCUGGAGGAACAUCAGUGGCGAAGGCGACUAUCUGGCACAUAACUGACGCUGAGGAGCGAAAGCGUGGGUAGCAAACAGGAUUAGAUACCCCGGUAGUC
rnacentral:rRNA from 1 species